rnacentral:rRNA from 1 species
GUGGGGAAUAUUGGGCAAUGGAUGCAAGUCUGACCCAGCCAUCCCGCGUGCCGGAAGAAGGCCCUCAGGGUUGUAAACGGCUUUUGACGGUGAAGAAUCGACAGGAUGCGUCCUGUUUUGACGGUAGCCGUUGAAUAAGCACCGGCUAACUCCGUGCCAGCAGCCGCGGUAAUACGGAGGGUGCGAGCGUUGUCCGGAUUUAUUGGGUUUAAAGGGUGCGUAGGCUGGAAGGUCAGUCAGCGGUGAAAAGCUGUCGCUUAACGAUAGUCUUGCCGCAGAUACUUCCUUUCUUGGAUGAGGAGGAGGCCACUGGAACGGAUGGUGUAGCGGUGAAAUGCAUAGAUAUCAUCCAGAACACCGAUUGCGAAGGCAGGUGGCUGUACCUUAAUCGACGCUGAUGCACGAAAGCAUGGGGAGCAAACAGGAUUAGAAACCCGUGUAGUCC